UCCUAUACCCAGCAGCCCAGCUGCAGCACCUCUGGAGGCUCCUUCUUCUGAACCAGUUCCAUGAUGUGGUGACUGGAAGCUGCAUCCAGAUGGUGGCAGAGGAAGCCAUGUGCCAUUAUGAAGACAUCCGUUCCCAUGGCAAUACACUGCUCAGCGCCGCAGCCGCAGCCCUGUGUGCUGGGGAGCCAGGUCCUGAGGGCCUCCUCAUCGUCAACACACUGCCCUGGAAGCGGACCGAAGUGAUGGCCCUGCCCAAACCAGGCGGGGCCCACAGCCUAGGUACGAGCUGAGGGGAAGGGUUGCUACUGCAGCAGGAAGGAUGGAGGCCAGACAGAUCAGGCCUGGGAUACCCCGAUGGAUCUGGGUGCCCCUGACUGGAGAGUAGUAGCACAACUUCCACCAGCCCAUCCCCACCUGCGCAAGCUUCCUGAAAGGUCAGGAAGGCUGCACUGAUGCCCAGGCCUCACCCCCAGCCCUGGUGACAGUGCCCAGCAUGGGCUAUGCUCCUGUUCCUCCCCCCACCUCACUGCAGCCCCUGCUGCCCCAGCAGCCUGUGU
rnacentral:sRNA from 1 species